rnacentral:rRNA from 1 species
GACGAACGCUGACGGCGUGCUUAACACAUGCAAGUCGAAGGGAGUGGCGAACGGGUGAGUAACACGUGAGUAACCUGCCCUUUUCUUUGGGUUAAGCCUGGGUAACUGGGUCUAAUACUGCAUGGAUUGGGAUGGGCUCGCGGCUUUUCCGCUUGUUGGUGGGGGGAUGGCUUACCAAGGUUUUGACGGGUCGCCGGCCUGAGUGGGUGGUCGGUCACACUGGGACUGAGAUACGGCCCAGACUCCUACGGGAGGCAGCAGUGGGGGAUAUUGCACAAUGGACGAAAGUCUGAUGCAGCGACGGCGUGUGGGGGAUGAAGGCCUUCGGGUUGUAAACUCCUUUCGCCCUCGGAAUGGUAGUGGGUAAAGAAGCGCCGGCUAACUACGUGACAGCAGCCGGGGUAAUUC